rnacentral:rRNA from 1 species
UACGUAGGGCGCAAGCGUUGUCCCGGAAUUAUUGGGCGUAAAGAGCUCGUAGGCGGUCUGUUACGUCCGCUGUGAAAACCCCAGGGCUUAACCCUGGGCUUGCAGUGGAUACGGGUAGACUAGAGGCAGGUAGGGGAGAAUGGAAUUCCCGGUGUAGCGGUGAAUGCGCAGAUAUCGGGAGGAACACCGGUGGCGAAGGCGGUCUCUGGGCCUGACCUGACGCUGAGGAGCGAAAGCGUGGGGAGCGAACAGG